UACGUAGGGGGCAAGCGUUGUCCGGAUUUAUUGGGCGUAAAGAGCGUGUAGGCGGCCAGAUAGGUCAGCUGUGAAAACUCGAGGCUCAACCUCGAGAUGUCGGCUGAAACCAUCUGGCUAGAGUCCGGAAGAGGAGAAUGGAAUUCCCGGUGUAGCGGUGAAAUGCAGCAGAUAUCGGGAAGAACACCCGUGGCGAAGGCGGUUCUCUGGGACGGUACUGACGCUGAGACGCGAAAGCGUGGGGAGCGAACAGG
rnacentral:rRNA from 1 species